AGCAGCCGCGGUAAUUCCAGCUCUGUAAGCGUAUGCCAAAGUUGUUGCAGUUAAAACGCUCGUAGUCGGAUUUUGGCAGUUCUGGGAGUGUGCGCGUCUCGCGCUUGCUUCGUAAGGGCUGCUUUCGUGGAAAAUGCGUGGGAUGAGGCAACUUUAUUGUUGAACGUCCUGUCGCUCCACCGUUUACUGUGAGAAAAUUAAAGUGUUCAAAGCGGGCAAUUGUCAUGAAUACAUUAGCAUGGAAUAAUGGAAUAGGACUUGGUCUUAUUUUGUUGGUUUGUUCUGACUGAGUAAUGAUUAAAAGGGACAGUUGGGGGCAUUUGUAUUUCGGAGCUAGAGGUGAAAUUCUUAGAUUUCCGAAAGACAAACCGCUGCGAAAGCGUCUGCCAAGGAUGUUUUCAUUGAUCAAGAACGAAAGUAAGGGGAUCGAAGACGAUCAGAUACCGUCGUAGUCUUUACUAUAAACUAUGAGGACUGGGGAUCGGGCGAGGAGUUGUGAUGACCCGCCCGGCACCCUCCGGGAAACCAAAGUUUUUGCUUUCUGGGGGGAGUAUGGUCGCAAGGCUGAAACUUAAAGGAAUUGACGGAAGGGCAUCACCGGGUGUGGAGCCUGCGGCUUAAUUUGACUCAACACGGGAAAACUUACCAGGUCAGGACAUAGUGAGG
rnacentral:rRNA from 1 species